rnacentral:rRNA from 1 species
AUUGAACGCUGGCGGCAGGCCUAACACAUGCAAGUCGAACGGUAACAGGGAUCAGCUUGCUGAUUCGCUGACGAGUGGCGGACGGGUGAGUAAUGUCUGGGAAACUGCCUGAUGGAGGGGGAUAACUACUGGAAACGGUAGCUAAUACCGCAUAACGUCGCAAGACCAAAGAGGGGGACCUUCGGGCCUCUUGCCAUCGGAUGUGCCCAGAUGGGAUUAGCUAGUAGGUGGGGUAACGGCUCACCUAGGCGACGAUCCCUAGCUGGUCUGAGAGGAUGACCGGCCACACUGGAACUGAGACACGGUCCAGACUCCUAAGGGAGGCAGCAGUGGGGAAUAUUGCACAAUGGGCGCAAGCCUGAUGCAGCCAGGCCGCGUGUAUGAAGAAGGCCUUCGGGUUGUAAAGUACUUUCAGCGGGGAGGAAGGGAGUAAAGUUAAUACCUUUGCUCAUUGACGGUACCCGCAGAAGAAGCACCGGCUAACUCCGUG